rnacentral:rRNA from 1 species
GGCUGGGAUAAACGCUGAAAGCAUCUAAGUGUGAAGCCCCCCUCAAGAUGAGAUUUCCCCACCGCAAGGUGAUAAGGUCCCUGACAGACGAUCAGGUAAAUAGGCCGGAUGUGGAAGCGCAGUAAUGUGUGAAGCUGACCGGUACUAAUCGACCGAAGACUUGACCACAA